AUCAAUUCAUUUUCACAUGACAUUAAGUUUAAUUUGAUUAACUUUUCAGGUAUGUAUUUAAUUACUGGCAUAAUUUGUUGUACGUGUCAAUGGUAUGCAUAGUAGAUACAUUUGUACAUGUACAGUAUCGUGGACACAUACCUCAGGAAGAAAAUGAUCAGGUCCUAUAAUUCAACAACGACAAAAAUUUGACCUUUUGUUCUAUCAGACUGAUAAAGAAAUACCAUAAAAGCAUAAUUGUUGGUCUUUGGAAUUUGAGAAAGGUGGCAAGGACAAUCUUCUCAAAAACUGUUGGUCCUGACCACCAAAAAUCAGGUUCAUGUGACAAGAGCAGACCGGGUGUCCUUGAAAACUUAGAUAUGAAAAAUAAUAGGUAUAUUUUGGGAAAUUGUAACAUGCUAAAGACUAUGUGGAACACUCAAAAAAUUGGUGACCUGAAAGAUCUUUAGAUUUUGUAUGUACAUUAUUUUUUCCAAUUUUUCUUAUAAGUAUGCAGCAAAGAUUAACAUUUUUCUAAUUUCAGUUUCACAAGCUUCUAAUGCAUGUGCAUGUAUAUUUCUAAUAACACAGUUUAACAAAUAAUUUCUUUAAAAUGUAUGAUUGUUGUUCAGAUAUAGCUUUUAGUAAGUAUCUUCACCGGCAUUGUUUAACUGUUCUCGACUUUUUCAUAGGUAGAGUGACUUUUCUAUUGUUCUCGCGUCAUCGGUUUAGCCCUGAAUUUCCUACCACUGUCGAAAAAUUAUAUACUCAGGAGUCAAAUGUGUCAAAUGAGGAAUCAGUAAUAUGAAAAUAGUCUAUUGUAAAUUAUAUUUAAAAAUAUCUUUUAAAACUGUCACUGCAUAACAAGAAUAUAUUUCAUGUUAUGUGAAGUAAGAAAAUAACAAGAAUGUGUCCAUAGUACACAGAUGCCCCACUCGCACUAUCAUUUUCUAUGUUCAGUGGACCCUGAAAUUGGGGUCAAUACUCUAAUUUGGCUUUAAAAUUAGAAAGAUCAUAUCAUUGGGAGCAUGUGUACUAAGUUUCAAGUUGAUUGGACUUCAACUUCAUAAAAAAUUACCUUGACUAAAAACUUGAACCUGAAGCGGGACAGACACAGGAAUGGACGGAGUAAAGAACGAACAGACGCACAGACCGAAAAACAUAAUUACCCUCUACUAUCGUAGGUGGGGCAUAAAAAUGUUGUACAACAGAACUGGAACUUUGUACCCACUGAAAUUGUAUGUCUGGUGUCCUCUAUAACCUUGUUUAAACCUUUCAUGUGAUAAGUGCAAGUUGAAAACGUUAUAAUGUUUUCCCUAAGUUGAUAUGUAACCCUUUCAGCUAUGUUUUGCCACUGAUUUUUACCUUUGAUUUUAGAUAACAUUGUACUAUUUCUAAUCCUAUUUUCAAUCAGGCAGACUUUACUUAUAUUUCUAAAAGAUAUUUUAAUUAUCAACAUAAAUGAUAAUAUAUAUAAAUAUGUAUAUAUACUGAAUAUUACAUCAUUCCUGUCUUGAGGACAAUAAAAAAGCCAAUACCUUGUUUAUUGUAGAAGUCUGUAUAUAGUUACCAUUAGAAUUUUUUUUUUUUUUUUGUGUCCUUGGAUUUAUGUGUCAUUCAUGCAUACCUCACAUCUCCUUUUGUUCAAACAUAUUUUUAUCUAUUGGAAAUUAUUUCAUUUUUAUGCAAUUUGUACCAUUUCAAUGUUUGAAAAAUCCAUAUUAAACUUAAUAAAAGUAAAAAUGUUAAA